AUAUAACCAAUGAUAAAGAAUAGUAGUUAAGAAACACAUGAAAAGAGAGGAAAUGUCCAAGGCUGAAAGCAUUUCUACAUGCUGACUUAAUGAAUGAACACUUUGUAGGUUUUGCCCUGAAAGAGGUUUUUCUAGUAGGGGUAAACGUCUAGCAGGCGUUAACUGUGUUAAGUGGAAGCAUUUGCUUCAAUUAGGGUGGCACCACGGGAAUAAAACUCUCGUCCCUUGU
rnacentral:ncRNA from 1 species